rnacentral:lncRNA from 1 species
CCACAUUAAUUUCCUUUGAGGUUUGCUUAUUAAUUGUUACCAUUAGUGAACAAGUACAUUAUUGGCUAACUUAAUAAUAUUUGUUUUCCUAUUGUGUUGUGUAUAUCAAAUAGUUAGGCACUAUGGAGGGACAUGAAUUUUUGGGGUUUGGUUUCUUUGUAAUUGGUUUAUGGCACCUUUUCAAUAACACCAAACUCCAUUUUCUUUGUUCUUCUUUCAAGUCAUACACAUCAACCAUGUGGUUUCCUACAAAAAUAAGUAGAUACUUGGAGCUUCAUUUCAUCAUGGCAUGUUGCACACUUUUCAUAGCCAUGGAACUCUUAAUUUCUCCUCAUCAUCACCAUCCAUUUGACCCUCAAGAUGGAACCAUUCCCUCCAACCAUCUCCACAACUUUGAACACUCUUCCAUGGCUUUGUCUUUCUUAAUCUUUGCUACUUUUACCAUAGUUCUUGAUAGAUUUUCAACAAGUACUAUAGUUGAAAAUGAACUUAGCCAUUUGCUUGCAGCCAUAGCAUUUGCACAACAAUAUCUUCUUAUUCAUUUUCAUUCAAGAAACCACGUGGGGAUAGAAGGACAAUACCAUUAUUUAUUACAAAUUUUGAUUAUGAUUUGUUUUGUGACAACCCUUAUGGGAAUUGGAUUUCCAAUGAGCUUCUUGGUAUCUUUUGUGCGUUCUGUUUGCAUAAUCUUCCAAGGCUUGUGGCUUAUGUUUAUGGGGCUCAUGCUUUAUACACCUGGUUAUGAACCCAAAGGUUGUUUCAUGAAACUUAAGGAGGGUCAAUAUGUGGUUAGGUGCAAUGAUGAAAAGGCUAUUCAUCGCGCUGUUGCAUUGGUGAAUCUUCAAUUCAGCUGGUUCUUGAUCGGAGUCCCUAUAUUUGCUGUGUCUUUCUACUUGAUUAUGGCAACAUGCUAUGGUGAAAAGCUGGAAUAUGUUUCACUGAUGAAGGAGGAACAUCACCUUGAAGAUGGCUUAAAAAAUUUCAAUGUUGAAUCAUAAUGUCAAAUAUCAACACAAGUAUGCAAGAGCAAAACUAUAUAAAUAAUGUAUUGUUUAAAUUUCAUUUCAAAAUAAAAUUAAAUGUAUUGCUUAAAUUUGCACCGAAUAAUGGUAUCAAAGUUACCAAUGUUUUUAAUCAACGGUUAGUAUUCACUAAUCGACAUUCUUAUCAACAGUCAGAAUUGAUUCUAAAUAUAUCAUGCGGAUCGAUGACCUGUACAUAGCAAAACAAAAAAGAAGUGAUUUUAAUCAACGGUCAGUAUUCACUAAUCGACAUUCUUAUCAACAGUCAGAAUUGAUUCUAAAUCUAUCACGCGGAUCGAUGACUUGUACAUAGCAAAACAAAAAAGAAGCGAUUUUAAUCAACGGUCAGUAUUCACUAAUCGACAUUCUUAUCAACAGUCAGAAUUGAUUCUAAAUAUAUCACGCGGAUCGAUGACCUGUACAUAGCAAAACAAAAAAGAAGCGAUUUUAAUCAACGGUCAGUAUUCACUAAUCGACAUUCUUAUCAACAGUCAUAAUUGAUUCUAAAUAUAUCACGCGGUAGCAAAACAAAAACAAAACAAAAAAAAAGCGUAAAAAUAAUAGCAAAAACAGUCCUCGAGACUAAUAAAUAAAUUAGUAAUUAAAACAUGAACAUAAACAGAAUUUGUCCCAAAAACUAGUAAAUAAAUUAGAGAAGUGCUCGAGACUAAUAUAACCUAUGAAACACGGACAUAAACAUGAACAUCAGACACAAUACGAAUAUUGACACGUCUACACCGAUAAUAAUUUAAUAAAAUGGCAUAAUUCAAUGUAAUAAUAAUAAGUGUCUAAUUAAACAUGAACAUCAGACACAAUACGAAUAUUGACACGUCUACACCGAUAAUAAUUUAAUAAAAUGGCAUAAUUCAAUGUAAUAAUAAUAAGUGUCCGACACUGUCCGUCACCGAACACGUCUAAUCUGUGAUAGAAUAGAACCCAAAAACUAGUAAUUGCAACUGCACUCACACCAAAUCUCCAUCUUAUAAAGAACCCGACAAACACAUUAUUAUCACUAUAUAUCAAAUGCAAAAUAACAUGACACUAAACAAACCCAACAAAAGCUAAAUAACAUAUGAGACUAAUUUGCAAACACAUUACUAUCUUUAUUAAGGUAUUUUCUCUCGUAAUAUAAAUAAAUAUAUAAUGUGUUCUUCCAUUGUUUAUGAUCUCGUAAUUGCGUUAAAUGCACAUUUUUAUUGUCUUCAUAGAAUGUAUUCGUUCACAACAGUACACUGCUUCUGAUUUCGUGAGUCCAUAAAAUGCUCGAUUUUGCUUGUUGUAAUAAAAUGUGUGCUUUUUCACAACAAAUAAUAUAAUACGUGGUUACCAAAAUUUGAGUGCAUCCUAUAAAGAUUUAUUGCCCGUAAAAUAAAACACCUUCUAACUCAACUUUGAUCUAAUGUGUAUAUAUAUCAUAUAUGUCCAAUGGCAUGAAAUUUCCUUAACAUAAAAGCACCUUCUAACUCAAAUUUGAUCUAUUGUUCCUUAACGUAAAAUCUCAAACCUUGUACCUUGUGUGAGACGGACCACAACAACCUUUCCCCUUGUGGAAGGAAUUUUCUUGCCUUGUCCCAUGUGGUGGUCUCUCAUAUACGGACAUUUGUAUUUAUAAUACCAUAUAUACCCUCACCCCAACCAACUUCAUCUCCAUUAUAUUCCCUCACAAUAUCUAGAGAUACACAAAGAGCUAGCUCUAUAAAACUUCGUAUUUGGUUUUGAAUAACAAAGUUUAUAUAUUGUACCACAUUAAUUCCUUUUAGAGUUUGCUUAUUAUUACCAUUGGUGAACAAGAACAUAACUCAUUAGCUAAAUAAUAUUUUUUCCCCCUUUUGUGUUGUGUUUAUCAAAUAGUUAGGCACUAUGGAGGGACAUGAAUUUUUGGGGUUUGGUUUCUUUGUAAUUGGUUUGUGGCACCUCUUCAACAACACCAAACUCCACUUUCUUUGUUCUUCUUUCAAGUCCCACACAUCAACCAUGUGGUUUCCUACCAAAAUAAGUAGAUACUUGGAGCUUC